CCGCGUAGAGGUGAGAGAGAGAGAUAUAGGGAGGUAGAAGCAGAGGGUCGCUGGAAUAGACGACUGUGGCUGCAGACGGAGCGCCGCGUUGCGCGGAAGUGGGAGAGGAGGAAGAUGGCGGAGACACACGGAACGGCGCCCCGUGUACCUACGGCUGCUAGAUGGCAACGCCUCGCCUAGGAUUCGCGCAGCGGCACGGGACGGACCUCUUCACCGAUCGGUACGGCGGUAGAAGAGAGGUAGCUAACCCAACUUACACACCCUCUUCGAGCCCGAGGUUUAGACACCUCAGUCUAAACCUAAAAGCUAAAGACGUAGAAUAAAGGAAAGCUUCUUCGGGAGAAGUCGCCGUCGCUCGACCUGCUUCAUCAGCCUCGAAUUGACCGGCCAGACAAGCCUAUUUCACCUUGCCGCGUAACCGCCUGGUGCCGGCCUGAGGGUUAUAAACUCUGUGGAAACGGAGAAGGAGUCCUACAUCUGCAAGCAAGGUAUGUACCUACCAAAGAAGAACCGACGGAAACCCGAGCUCGACGGUGUUCAUACUGACUGUACGUGUCAUAUCGACGGUGUUGGCGGUAGUUCAGGUCCAAAUUGACAACCGGAGACCUCUUAUGACUUAAAUCGACUAUGCUCAGGUUACUUUAAAUACGUACACGUGUAUAAGUAAUAUGGUAAUAUCAGUACAUAGUAAGAAUUUAUAAAAACAGUUUAG
rnacentral:rRNA from 1 species